CCUACGGGAGGCAGCAGUGGGGAAUAUUGCACAAUGGGCGAAAGCCUGAUGCAGCAACGCCGCGUGAGCGAUGAAGGCCUUCGGGUCGUAACGCUCUGUCCUCAAGGAAGAUAAUGACGGUACUUGAGGAGGAAGCCCCGGCUAACUACGUGCCAGCAUCCGCGGUAAUACGUCGGGGGCUAGCGUUAUCUGGAAUUACUGGGCGUAAGGGGUGCGGAGGUGGUUUCUUAAGUCAGAGGUGAAAGGCUACGGCUCAACCGUAGUAAGCCUGUGAAACUGGGAAACUUGAGUGCAGGAGAGGAGAGUGGAAUUCCUGGUGGAGCGGUGAAAUGCGUAGAUAUAAGGAAGAACCCCAGUGGCGAAGGCGGAUGACUGGACGGCAACUGACGGUGAGGCGCGAAAGCGUGGGGAGCAAACAGGAUUAGAUACCCCUGUAGUC
rnacentral:rRNA from 1 species